ACGCGCGGAACCUUACCAGGUCUUGACAUCCUCUGACACUCCUAGAGAUAGGACGUUCCCCUUCGGGGGACAGAGUGACAGGUGGUGCAUGGUUGUCGUCAGCUCGUGUCGUGAGAUGUUGGGUUAAGUCCCGCAACGAGCGCAACCCUUGAUCUUAGUUGCCAGCAUUUAGUUGGGCACUCUAAGGUGACUGCCGGUGACAAACCGGAGGAAGGUGGGGACGACGUCAAAUCAUCAUGCCCCUUAUGACCUGGGCUACACACGUGCUACAAUGGAUGGUACAAAGGGCAGCAAAGCGGUGACGCCUAGCAAAUCCCAUAAAACCAUUCUCAGUUCGGAUUGUAGGCUGCAACUCGCCUACAUGAAGCUGGAAUCGCUAGUAAUCGCGGAUCAGCAUGCCGCGGUGAAUACGUUCCCGGACCUUGCACACACCGCCCGU
rnacentral:rRNA from 1 species